rnacentral:rRNA from 1 species
GAUGAACGCCGACAGAAUGCUUAACACAUGCAAGUCCACUUGAAUUUGGGUUUUUAACUUAGGUUUGGGUGGCGGACGGGUGAGUAACGCGUAAAGAACUUGCCUCACAGCUAGGGACAACAUUUGGAAACGAAUGCUAAUACCUAAUAUUAUGAUAAUAGGGCAUCCUAUAAUUAUGAAAGCUAUAAGCGCUGUGAGAGAGCUGUGCGUCCCAUUAGCUAGUUGGAGAGGUAACGGCUCACCAAGGCGAGGAUGGGUAGCCGGCCUGAGAGGGUGAUCGGCCACAAGGGGACUGAGACACGGCCCGUACUCCUACGGGAGGCAGGAGUGGGGAAUAUUGGACAAUGGACCGAGAGUCUGAUCCAGGAAUUCUGUGUGUACGAUGAAGUUUUUCGGAAUGUAAAGUGCUUUCAGUUGGGAAGAAACAAAUGACGGUACCAACAGAAGAAGCGACGGCUAAAUACGUG